rnacentral:rRNA from 1 species
UACGGAGGGAGCUAGCGUUGUUCGGAUAUACUGGGCGUAAAGCGCACGUAGGCGGCGCAGCAAGUCAGGGGUGAAAUCCCGGAGCUCAACUCCGGAACUGCCCUUGAAACUGCAGUGCUAGAAUCCUGGAGAGGCGAGUGGAAUUCCGAGUGUAGAGGUGAAAUUCGUAGAUAUUCGCAAGAACACCAGUGGCGAAGGCGCUCACUGGCCCGGUACUGACGCUGAGGCACGAAGGCCAGGGGAGCAAACGGGG